rnacentral:rRNA from 1 species
CAGCCGCCGCGGGAAUACAGAGGGUGCGAGCGUUAAUCGGAUUUACUGGGCGUAAAGCGUGCGUAGGCGGCUUCUUAAGUCGGAUGUGAAAUCCCUGAGCUUAACUUAGGAAUUGCAUUCGAUACUGGGAAGCUAGAGUAUGGGAGAGGAUGGUAGAAUUCCAGGUGUAGCGGUGAAAUGCGUAGAGAUCUGGAGGAAUACCGAUGGCGAAGGCAGCCAUCUGGCCUAAUACUGACGCUGAGGUACGAAAGCAUGGGGAGCAGACAGGAUUAGAUACCCGAGUAGUCCCUGUCUCUUAUAC